AACGAACGCUGGCGGCAGGCUUAACACAUGCAAGUCGAACGCCCCGCAAGGGGAGUGGCAGACGGGUGAGUAACGCGUGGGAAUCUACCCAGUUCUACGGAACAACAGAGGGAAACUUCUGCUAAUACCGUAUACGCCCUACGGGGGAAAGAUUUAUCGGAAUUGGAUGAGCCCGCGUAAGAUUAGCUAGUUGGUGAGGUAAUGGCUCACCAAGGCGACGAUCUUUAGCUGGUCUGAGAGGAUGAUCAGCCACACUGGGACUGAGACACGGCCCAGACUCCUACGGGAGGCAGCAGUGGGGAAUAUUGGACAAUGGGCGCAAGCCUGAUCCAGCCAUGCCGCGUGAGUGAUGAAGGCCUUAGGGUUGUAAAGCUCUUUCAGUAGGGAAGAUAAUGACGGUACCUACAGAAGAAGCCCCGGCUAACUUCGUGCCAGCCGCCGCUGUAAAAC
rnacentral:rRNA from 1 species